UACGUAGGGGGCUAGCGUUGUCCGGAAUCAUUGGGCGUAAAGAGCGUGUAGGCGGCCAGAUAAGUCCGCUGUGAAAUCUCGAGGCUCAACUUCGAGCUGUCGGUGGAAACUGUCUGGCUAGAGUCCGGAAGAGGAGAAUGGAAUUCCUGGUGUAGCGGUGAAAUGCGCAGAUAUCAGGAGGAACACCGGUGGCGAAGGCGGGUCUCUGGGCCGAUACUGACGCUGAGGAGCGAAAGCGUGGGGAGCGAACAGG
rnacentral:rRNA from 1 species